rnacentral:rRNA from 1 species
GCUACGUAGGUGCUAGCAGCGGCGGUAGGACGGAUGUUGCAAGGGUUAAUCGGAAUUACGGGGCGUAAAGCGUGCGCAGGCGGUUGGAUAAGUUAGAUGUGAAAGCCCCGGGCUCAACCUGGGAAUUGCAUUUAAAACUGACAAGCUAGAGUCUUGUAGAGGGGGGUAGAAUUCCAGGUGUAGCGGUGAAAUGCGUAGAGAUCUGGAGGAAUACCGGUGGCGAAGGCGGCCCCCUGGACAGAGACUGACGCUCAGGUGCGAAAGCGUGGGGAGCAAACAGGAUUAGAUACCCCUGUAGUC